rnacentral:rRNA from 1 species
CAGUCGCCGCGGGAAUACGUAGGUGGCAAGCGUUGUCCGGAAUUAUUGGGCGUAAAGGGCUCGCAGGCGGCUUCUUAAGUCUGAUGUGAAAGCCCACGGCUCAACCGUGGAGGGUCAUUGGUAACUGUUAAACUUGAGUGCAGGAGAGAAAAGUGGAAUUCCUAGUGUAGCGGUGAAAUGCGUAGAGAUUAGGAGGAACACCAGUGGCGAAGGCGGCUUUUUGGCCUGUAACUGACACUGAGGCGCGAAAGCGUGGGGAGCAAACAGGAUUAGAUACCCCCGUAGUCCCUGUCUCUUAUAC